rnacentral:rRNA from 1 species
UUAAGCGACUAAGCGUACACGGUGGAUGCCCUGGCAGUCAGAGGCGAUGAAGGACGUGCUAAUCUGCGAUAAGCGUCGGUAAGGUGAUAUGAACCGUUAUAACCGGCGAUUUCCGAAUGGGGAAACCCAGUGUGUUUCGACACACUAUCAUUAACUGAAUCCAUAGGUUAAUGAGGCGAACCGGGGGAACUGAAACAUCUAAGUACCCCGAGGAAAAGAAAUCAACCGAGAUUCCCCCAGUAGCGGCGAGCGAACGGGGAGCAGCCCAGAGCCUGAAUCAGUGUGUGUGUUAGUGGAAGCGUCUGGAAAGGCGCGCGAUACAGGGUGACAGCCCCGUACACAAAAAUGCACAUGCUGUGAGCUCGAUGAGUAGGGCGGGACACGUGGUAUCCUGUCUGAAUAUGGGGGGACCAUCCUCCAAGGCUAAAUACUCCUGACUGACCGAUAGUGAACCAGUACCGUGAGGGAAAGGCGAAAAGAACCCCGGCGAGGGGAGUGAAAAAGAACCUGAAACCGUGUACGUACAAGCAGUGGGAGCCUCUUUUAUGGGGUGACUGCGUACCUUUUGUAUAAUGGGUCAGCGACUUAUAUUCUGUAGCAAGGUUAACCGAAUAGGGGAGCCGAAGGGAAACCGAGUCUUAACUGGGCGUUAAGUUGCAGGGUAUAGACCCGAAACCCGGUGAUCUAGCCAUGGGCAGGUUGAAGGUUGGGUAACACUAACUGGAGGACCGAACCGACUAAUGUUGAAAAAUUAGCGGAUGACUUGUGGCUGGGGGUGAAAGGCCAAUCAAACCGGGAGAUAGCUGGUUCUCCCCGAAAGCUAUUUAGGUAGCGCCUCGUGAAUUCAUCUCCGGGGGUAGAGCACUGUUUCGGCAAGGGGGUCAUCCCGACUUACCAACCCGAUGCAAACUGCGAAUACCGGAGAAUGUUAUCACGGGAGACACACGGCGGGUGCUAACGUCCGUCGUGAAGAGGGAAACAACCCAGACCGCCAGCUAAGGUCCCAAAGUCAUGGUUAAGUGGGAAACGAUGUGGGAAGGCCCAGACAGCCAGGAUGUUGGCUUAGAAGCAGCCAUCAUUUAAAGAAAGCGUAAUAGCUCACUGGUCGAGUCGGCCUGCGCGGAAGAUGUAACGGGGCUAAACCAUGCACCGAAGCUGCGGCAGCGACGCUUAUGCGUUGUUGGGUAGGGGAGCGUUCUGUAAGCCUGUGAAGGUGUGCUGUGAGGCAUGCUGGAGGUAUCAGAAGUGCGAAUGCUGACAUAAGUAACGAUAAAGCGGGUGAAAAGCCCGCUCGCCGGAAGACCAAGGGUUCCUGUCCAACGUUAAUCGGGGCAGGGUGAGUCGACCCCUAAGGCGAGGCCGAAAGGCGUAGUCGAUGGGAAACAGGUUAAUAUUCCUGUACUUGGUGUUACUGCGAAGGGGGGACGGAGAAGGCUAUGUUGGCCGGGCGACGGUUGUCCCGGUUUAAGCGUGUAGGCUGGUUUUCCAGGCAAAUCCGGAAAAUCAAGGCUGAGGCGUGAUGACGAGGCACUACGGUGCUGAAGCAACAAAUGCCCUGCUUCCAGGAAAAGCCUCUAAGCAUCAGGUAACAUCAAAUCGUACCCCAAACCGACACAGGUGGUCAGGUAGAGAAUACCAAGGCGCUUGAGAGAACUCGGGUGAAGGAACUAGGCAAAAUGGUGCCGUAACUUCGGGAGAAGGCACGCUGAUAUGUAGGUGAAGUCCCUCGCGGAUGGAGCUGAAAUCAGUCGAAGAUACCAGCUGGCUGCAACUGUUUAUUAAAAACACAGCACUGUGCAAACACGAAAGUGGACGUAUACGGUGUGACGCCUGCCCGGUGCCGGAAGGUUAAUUGAUGGGGUCAGCGCAAGCGAAGCUCUUGAUCGAAGCCCCGGUAAACGGCGGCCGUAACUAUAACGGUCCUAAGGUAGCGAAAUUCCUUGUCGGGUAAGUUCCGACCUGCACGAAUGGCGUAAUGAUGGCCAGGCUGUCUCCACCCGAGACUCAGUGAAAUUGAACUCGCUGUGAAGAUGCAGUGUACCCGCGGCAAGACGGAAAGACCCCGUGAACCUUUACUAUAGCUUGACACUGAACAUUGAGCCUUGAUGUGUAGGAUAGGUGGGAGGCUUUGAAGUGUGGACGCCAGUCUGCAUGGAGCCGACCUUGAAAUACCACCCUUUAAUGUUUGAUGUUCUAACGUUGACCCGUAAUCCGGGUUGCGGACAGUGUCUGGUGGGUAGUUUGACUGGGGCGGUCUCCUCCUAAAGAGUAACGGAGGAGCACGAAGGUUGGCUAAUCCUGGUCGGACAUCAGGAGGUUAGUGCAAUGGCAUAAGCCAGCUUGACUGCGAGCGUGACGGCGCGAGCAGGUGCGAAAGCAGGUCAUAGUGAUCCGGUGGUUCUGAAUGGAAGGGCCAUCGCUCAACGGAUAAAAGGUACUCCGGGGAUAACAGGCUGAUACCGCCCAAGAGUUCAUAUCGACGGCGGUGUUUGGCACCUCGAUGUCGGCUCAUCACAUCCUGGGGCUGAAGUAGGUCCCAAGGGUAUGGCUGUUCGCCAUUUAAAGUGGUACGCGAGCUGGGUUUAGAACGUCGUGAGACAGUUCGGUCCCUAUCUGCCGUGGGCGCUGGAGAACUGAGGGGGGCUGCUCCUAGUACGAGAGGACCGGAGUGGACGCAUCACUGGUGUUCGGGUUGUCAUGCCAAUGGCACUGCCCGGUAGCUAAAUGCGGAAGAGAUAAGUGCUGAAAGCAUCUAAGCACGAAACUUGCCCCGAGAUGAGUUCUCCCUGACUCCUUGAGAGUCCUGAAGGAACGUUGAAGACGACGACGUUGAUAGGCCGGGUGUGUAAGCGCAGCGAUGCGUUGAGCUAACCGGUACUAAUGAACCGUGAGGCUUAACCUU